rnacentral:rRNA from 1 species
GACGAACCGAGCGAACGUUGUUCGGAAUCACUGGGCUUAAAGGGCGCGUAGGCGGGCAAGCAAGUCCGGGGUGAAAUCUUUCGGCUCAACCGGAAAAGUGCCUUGGAUACUGCUUGUCUGGAGGGAGGUAGGGGCAUGCGGAACUUCUGGUGGAGCGGUGAAAUGCGUUGAUAUCAGAAGGAACGCCGGUGGCGAAAGCGGCGUGCUGGACCUCUUCUGACGCUGAGGCGCGAAAGCUAGGGGGAGCAAACGGG